UACAGAAGGGGCAAGCGUUGUUCGGAAUUACUGGGCGUAAAGGGCGCGUAGGCGGCCCGCUAAGUCGAACGUGAAAUCCCCGAGCUCAACUCGGGAACGUGCGUCCGAUACUGGCGGGCUUGAAGUCCGGGAGAGGGAUGCGGAAUUCCAGGUGUAGCGGUGAAAUGACGCAGAUAUCAGGAGGAACACCGAUGGCGAAGGCAAUCCCCUGGGCCUGCACUGACGCUCAUGCACGAAAGCGUGGGAGCAAACAGG
rnacentral:rRNA from 1 species